rnacentral:rRNA from 1 species
UCCUACGGGGGGCAGCAGUGGGGAAUUUUGGACAAUGGGGGCAACCCUGAUCCAGCCAUGCCGCGUGCGGGAAGAAGGCCUUCGGGUUGUAAACCGCUUUUGUCGGGGAAGAAAUCUUCUGAGCUAACACCUCGGGAGGAUGACGGUACUCGAAGAAUAAGCACCGGCUAACUACGUGCCAGCAGCCGCGGUAAUACGUAGGGUGCAAGCGUUAAUCGGAAUUACUGGGCGUAAAGCGUGCGCAGGCGGUCUUGCAAGACAGAUGUGAAAUCCCCGGGCUCAACCUGGGAACUGCAUUUGUGACUGCAAGGCUGGAGUGCGGCAGAGGGGGAUGGAAUUCCGCGUGUAGCAGUGAAAUGCGUAGAUAUGCGGAGGAACACCGAUGGCGAAGGCAAUCCCCUGGGCCUGCACUGACGCUCAUGCACGAAAGCGUGGGGAGCAAACAGGAUUAGAUACCCGGGUAGUCG